rnacentral:rRNA from 1 species
UGCGCCUUGCCAGCCCGCUCAGAAACUCAAAGGAAUUGACGGGGGCCCGCACAAGCGGUGGAGCAUGUGGUUUAAUUCGAUGAUACGCGAGGAACCUUACCUGGGCUCAAAUGUAUGUUGACGUAUUCUGAAAGGGAUACUUCUUCGGACAAUAUACAAGGUGCUGCAUGGUUGUCGUCGGCUCGUGCCGUGAGGUGUCGGGUUAAGUCCCAUAACGAGCGCAACCCCUACCUUUAGUUGCCAUCAGGUUAAGCUGGGGACUCUAAAGGAACUGCCUACGCAAGUAGUGAGGAAGGCGGGGAUGACGUCAAAUCAGCACGGCCCUUACGUCCAGGGCUACACACGUGCUACAAUGGCCGAUACAGAGGGCAGCUACCUGGUGACAGGAUGCAAAUCUCCAAAGUCGGUCUCAGUUCGGAUCGGAGUCUGCAACCCGACUCCGUGAAGUUGGAUUCGCUAGUAAUCGCGCAUCAGCCAUGGCGCGGUGAAUACGUUCCCGGGCCUU